rnacentral:pre_miRNA from 1 species
AUAUGGAUCACCUGGGGAUCUCAUUAAAUGGCAGACUCUGACUCAGUAGGUCUACAGUUGGGGCCUUGAUUCUGAAUUUCUAAUGUGCUCUUAGAUAAUGUUGAU